AUGUACACGAUGAAUGCCAAAUGA
rnacentral:siRNA from 1 species